rnacentral:rRNA from 1 species
UAGUGGCGGACGGGUGAGUAACGCGUAAGAACCUACCCCUUGGAGAGGGAUAGCCACUGGAAACGGUGAUUAAUACCUCGUAUGCUGAGGAGUGAAAGACCGUAAGGUCGCCAAGGGAUGGGCUUGCGUCUGAUUAGCUAGUUGGGUGGGGUAAAGGCCUCCCAAGGCGAUGAUCAGUAGCUGGUCUGAGAGGACAAUCAGCCACACUGGGACUGAGACACGGCCCAGACUCC